GAUGAAGAACGCAGCGAAAUGCGAUACGUAAUGUGAAUUGCAGAAUUCAGUGAAUCAUCGAAUCUUUGAACGCAUAUUGCGCUCUCUGGUAUUCCGGAGAGCAUGCUUGUUUGAGUAUCAGUAAACACCUCAACUUCCAUAUCUUUUUUGAAAUGGGAGUUGGACUUGAGUGAUCCCAACGCUUUUCCUCACCGAAAAGUGGCGGGUUACUUGAAAUGCAGGUGCAGCUGGACUUUUCUCUGAGCUAUAAGCAUAUCUAUUUAGUCUGCCUAAAAAACAGAUUAUUACCUUUGCUGCAGCUAACAUAAAGGAGAUUAGUUCUUGUGCUGACUGAUGCAGGAUUCACAAAGACGGCUUCGGCCGACUUUGUAAACUCGAUCUCAAAUCAAGUAAGACUACCCGCUGAACUUAAGCAUAUCAUAAGCGAGGA
rnacentral:misc_RNA from 1 species